GAUGAACGCUGGCGGCGUGCCUAAUACAUGCAAGUCGAGCGAAUGGAUUAAGAGCUUGCUCUUAUGAAGUUAGCGGCGGACGGGUGAGUAACACGUGGGUAACCUGCCCAUAAGACUGGGAUAACUCCGGGAAACCGGGGCUAAUACCGGAUAACAUUUUGAACCGCAUGGUUCGAAAUUGAAAGGCGGCUUCGGCUGUCACUUAUGGAUGGACCCGCGUCGCAUUAGCUAGUUGGUGAGGUAACGGCUCACCAAGGCAACGAUGCGUAGCCGACCUGAGAGGGUGGUCGGACACACUGGGCCUGAGACACGGCCCAGACUCCUACGGGAGGCAGCAGUAGGGAAUCUUCCGCAAUGGACGAAAGUCUGACGGAGCAACGCCGCGUGAGUGAUGAAGGCUUUCGGGUCGUAAAACUCUGUUGUUAGGGAAGAACAAGUGCUAGUUGAAUAAGCUGGCACCUUGACGGUACCUAACCAGAAAGCCACGGCUAACUACGUGCCAGCCGCCGCGGUAA
rnacentral:rRNA from 1 species